AUUGAACGCUGGCGGCAUGCUUUACACAUGCAAGUCGAACGGUAACAGGCCUUCGGGUGCUGACGAUUGGCGAACGGGUGAGUAAUGCAUCGGAACGUACCCAGAGCUGGGGGAUAACGCAGCUAAAGCUGUGCUAAUACCGCAUGUGAUCUGAGGAUGAAAGCGGGGGACCGAGCAGCAAUGUUUGGCCUCGCGCCUUUGGAGCCGCCGAUGUGGGAUUAGCUAGUUGGGGGGGUAAAGGCCUACCAAGGCGACGAUCCGUAGCUGGUCUGAGAGGACGACCAGCGAACUGGGGGCGGAGCCACGGACAAGAGGACUAAGAGAGGGAGCAGACGGGUAUGUUGGACAAUGGGGGGAAGUAUGAUCCAGCAAGGGCGCGUGUGGGAAGAAAGCGUUCGGGUUGUAAAGAGCUUUUGGCAGGAACGAACCGGUGUCCGCUAAUACCGGGCGCGAAUGACGGUACCUGCAGAAUAAGCACCGGCUAACUACGUG
rnacentral:rRNA from 1 species